UGAAGCAUUAUAUACUUUCAUUUGCAAGUUUAUUUUUAGGCUUUUCUGUUGAAAUUUUCAUCUGUAUCGUUUAUAAUAUUCGCGGUGAACAUUAAAAUUUAUUUUAAAACAGAAGAACUAAGUAAUUGAUUUCAUUAUGGAGCAUAUAACAGCAGAGACAAAUGGAAAUCUUAUAUCACAGAAAAAGAAUUCUUUAUUUACUGGACAAGUACCAGGAAGAACCUUUCCAAUGCAGCCUUUUCUGAAUGUAUCAAGAACAAACGAACAUCUUUACAUAACGCUUCUGUUUGCCAAGAUUUGGAUUUUAUGUUUCGGAAUAUCCCAUAUAAUACCGCAGAGAUUCGCAGUGUGGUUGCUAAUAACAUUAACUUUCGUCAGAAUUGCAUUUCCAGAACCACAAUUCCUUUUAGACGUGCCCUUCAUCUGGGCAAGUUGGUUUCUGGUUUUGACUUUGAAUUCGGAUUUCAGUCUAGUGGAUCGUCCUUUCCUCAAUUUUCUUUCAGAUCAAAUCAAAAAUUGUUUAAAAAUUUAUCUUCUGUCUAUAAUGCCAACUUCUUUCUCAGUUUACUCUGCAUCAGAAUUUAUUAUCGAUGUUUUUUGUAUAUUUAUUUUUGUAUUCUAUAUCUUUAAGAUCAUUUGCGGAAGGGUGAUUGAAGAGGAUAGGUGCCUCCCAAUAAUUACAAGUAUCAUCCCUCUUAUAGUAUUGGACCUGUUUUUUAAUGCCUAUGGACUUAUUUUUUUUGUGACUAAUUUUUAUAUGCGGUUUCUUGAUUCUGCUAUAAAAGCUAUCGUUGAAGGAAAACCAUUACUUUCCGUUAUUGUGUUAGCUGUCUUUGCUUACUUUAUACAUAACAAUUGCUAUAUUCGUAUUCUGUUUGAGACAAUGCUAUAUAACUGGAAAUAUUGGAUAUUCUUUUAAACUAUACAAAGUUUUCAGAUGCAAAAAUGAAAAAUUAUAAGAAAGAUUCCAUGUAGAGGAUACCUUCACGGAUUUUCAGAUCGCGAAACUCCAAAAAAUAUUUAAAAAAAUCUCUUCUUAAAAUAUGCGUUGAUAUUAAAUGAUUUUUUUCCACUGAUUUAUAAAAGAGAAUUUUUAAUUCUUUACUUGAUUUAAAUAUACCUAGAAACUAACAAUUUUAGAUUCAAUAUAAAAAAAAAUGCUACUUGUGAAAUUGUGCUUACUGGCAAGAGAUAUUGAUAGAAAAAUUUGCAUAUACUUUUCAAAAUUCAUUUUCUUUAUACGGGGUGGAAAAUAAUCAAAAUAUGUUGAAUUAUCUACUUGUCAGAGCACCCAUUUCGCUGCAUUUUUUCCAAGAAAUAUUUCAUUUCUAUUUUAGAAUUAUUAUGCUUUAUUAAGUUUUUCACAUUAUGUAAAUAUUUCGAAUUUAUGAAUUGUAUGAGGAUUUUAAUGACUUUUGUGAUUACAAAUAAACUUUUUUCAACAAU